GGGGGGGGGGGGAAGGGGAAGAAGAUGGCGACGACGCAGCCAAUAUUUAUAGGGAUCGAUUCUGACUAUGCACUCUAUGUCGCCGAAUCCGUGGGUUUCUAUAAUGAUACAUGAAGUUUGUUCUCCGUGCGACCAAAAUAUGGCGGGUUGGCGCCUCUCUCUCUCUCUCUCACAAAAGCUCUAUUUGCAGAUCAAUGAUUAAAGCCCCCAAAAAGAUUCUUCAACUCACACAAAAACCCAAACCCUAAAUUUGUGGCACCAUCGUGAUGGGUAUUUUUAACUUGACCUGUACCAACUGACCAACUAACUGCGCAUGUCCUCACUUUUAGCCUUCAGAUGUUUGGUUGCCGAGUGAUCCAGAAGCAAUGAGAGGAUAAAUUGUGCGGCAAUGUCAACGGUUUCACCAACAAUGAUAAGGAUUUGAGACCAAUUUUCAAGCGGCCAAAUAAGUUAAAAAUUCGAAUGGCUGAUUUUAUACACCAGUUUGAUAUUUUGUCUUUCUAGGUUAAAAAUAGAUACAACUUUAUGCGAUUGUUUAGCGGUGAUAUUAUACAUCUCUUUAUUUGUGGUAUCUGAAAGUGUCAAGCUCUACGAAUAAGGGAAAAGGAAAAGCCACAUAUGCUAAAGAUGCCUUCAUGUCUCUUUUGUUGGUUGUGUUUGGAGUAUGUUAUAUUUAGCUAAUUGAAAAUUAGGUGAAAUAGUUAUAGUAUCCCUACCAAAAUUUACUGUCUCUGCCUUUUUU